rnacentral:rRNA from 1 species
AGUGAACGCUGGCGGUAGGCCUAACACAUGCAAGUCGAACGGCAGCACAGAGGAGCUUGCUCCUUGGGUGGCGAGUGGCGGACGGGUGAGGAAUACAUCGGAAUCUACUCUGUCAUGGGGGAUAACGUAGGGAAACUUACGCUAAUACCGCAUACGACCUACGGGUGAAAGCAGGGGAUCUUCGGACCUUGCGCGAUUGAAUGAGCCGAUGUCGGAUUAGCUAGUUGGCGGGGUAAAGGCCCAACAAGGCGACGAUCCGUAGCUGGUCUGAGAGGAUGAUCAGCCACACUGGAACUGAGACACGGUCCAGACUCCUACGGGAGGCAGCAGUGGGGAAUAUUGGACAAUGGGCGCAAGCCUGAUCCAGCCAUACCGCGUGGGUGAAGAAGGCCUUCGGGUUGUAAAGCCCUUUUGUUGGGAAAGAAAUCCAUCUGGUUAAUACCCGGGUGGGAUGACGGUACCCAAAGAAUAAGCACCGGCUAACUUCGUGCCAGCAGCCGCCGUAA